AUUAUACUCCCUCCGUCCGGAAUUAGUUGUCGGAGAAAUGGAUGUGUCUAGACGUAUUUUACUUCUAGAUACAUCCAUUUUUGCGACAAGUAAUUUGGGGCGGAGGGAGUAUUUA
rfam:Triticum aestivum genome assembly, contig: Triticum_aestivum_CS42_TGACv1_scaffold_307680_4AS